UGGAGCAUGUGGUUUAAUUCGAAGCAACGCGAAGAACCUUACCAGGUCUUGACAUCCCGCUGAUCGCUCUGGAGACAGAGCUUCCCUUCGGGGCAGCGGUGACAGGUGGUGCAUGGUUGUCGUCAGCUCGUGUCGUGAGAUGUUGGGUUAAGUCCCGCAACGAGCGCAACCCUUGUCCUUAGUUACCAGCACCUCGGGUGGGCACUCUAAGGAGACUGCCGGUGACAAACCGGAGGAAGGUGGGGAUGACGUCAAGUCAUCAUGGCCCUUACGGCCAGGGCUACACACGUGCUACAAUGGUCGGUACAAAGGGUUGCCAAGCCGCGAGGUGGAGCUAAUCCCAUAAAACCGAUCGUAGUCCGGAUCGCAGUCUGCAACUCGACUGCGUGAAGUCGGAAUCGCUAGUAAUCGUGAAUCAGAAUGUCA
rnacentral:rRNA from 1 species